rnacentral:rRNA from 1 species
UACGUAGGGUGCGAGCGUUGUCCGGAAUUACUGGGCGUAAAGAGCUCGUAGGUGGUUUGUCGCGUUGUUCGUGAAAUCUCACGGCUUAACUGUGAGCGUGCGGGCGAUACGGGCAGACUGGAGUACUGCAGGGGAGACUGGAAUUCCUGGUGUAGCGGUGGAAUGCGCAGAUAUCAGGAGGAACACCGGUGGCGAAGGCGGGUCUCUGGGCAGUAACUGACGCUGAGGCGCGACAGCGUGGGGAGCAAACAGG